GUGCUCGCUUAGGCAGCACAUACACUAAAACUGGAAUGGAGACAGAGAAGGUUAGCGUGGCCCCUUCACAAGGAUGACACGCAAAUUUGUGAAACAUUCCAUAUUUUU
ensembl:snRNA U6 U6 spliceosomal RNA